GGCAGAGAGCGGCGGAGUCAUCAGGUUGGUGUGUGUGCUCACCUUCACGCAAGGAACCUAGCCCUGGAACCCCCACACUGCCUGCUGUUCAGGGAAGGGGAACCCUCUCCAGGGCCCUAGAGUGGGCUCACACGUGCUGACAAAGCAAGAGACUUGGCUGGAGGGGCGCCCGGGAGGACAGCAGCAGGCUAGGGCAUGGAGGAGAAAUAUACUUCCAUGUUUGCUUACAGGGAACUCUAGAAGGACCCGUAAGAAACAAAACACUACCUGCGGAGGGCAGACGGCCCUGGGCACACAGGCUAAACGACAGGAGGCACAAAUUAAGGCGAGUAUAUAAUAUAUCUCUA